rnacentral:sRNA from 1 species
GUCUGGCACAGAGCGUCGGAUGCCGGAAAGUUGGUCAAACUUGAUCAUUUAGAGGAAGUAAAAGUCGUAACAAGGUUUCCGUAGGUGAACCUGCGGAAGGAUCAUUACCGAUCGAUCACCAGAUAGCUUUUACAGCUAACUGCCGUGUGAACCGUACCGGAGCAUUCUUUUUCCAGGGGUCGGCCCGGGGGGCCGUUAAAUGGCCAACGGACGCGAGGCCGGCAGGUGUCUCGCGGCCGCUUGGCCUGCCCCGUUUUUGUUUUUUGAACGUACGAAUACGCUGUCUGAUUGACGACCCUGAAGGGGGAGGCGUCCGCCUUCCCCGGGUAGAAAGCAAAAGAGAGAGAGAGACAACUUUUGACGGUGGAUCUCUUGGCUCACGCAUCGAUGAAGAACGCAGCCAGCUGCGAUAAGUAGUGUGAAUUGCAGAAUUCAGUGAAUCAUCGAAUCUUUGAACGCAAAUGGCGCUCUUGGGUUCUCCCAGGAGCAUGUCUGUUUGAGUGUCGGAUUGUCAUCCAUCGCGGGUGCGCGCUCGCUCCAGCGAGAGAACGCGCCGGCGGCGUUGAGGCGUCACGGCCCCCCCACCCACCUCCGAGUUGGACGGGCCGGGCCGUGUCCCUUGAAAGGCAGAGAGACUCACUGGCUGCGGUCCGGGGCUCGUCCCCGCGGCGCACAAGCGGAGGCUAUAAAAGUGUCAGCACUCCUUCGCGCGCCGCAGGGUCCCCGCCGGCCGCGCGGCCGAGUCGCCUAGGCGAAGAGACGAAACCACCUUCUGACCUCAGAU